ACUUUCUAAAAUAUAAAUCUUAAUUAUAAAAAUCCAUUUCUUACAUUAGCUGUGUAUCAUCACACGGACAUAAAAUACAAAAAUCAUGGUUAAUCAUGAAACAACUUACGAAAAAUUGCAUACUUACCUCUAUACCCUUAAGAUUGACGUACUUCUCAUAGCAUUCAUGAAGGUCAAGAUAUUUUCCAUAGCCUUCUUCAUCUGUAAACUCAACCAUGUCUGUGAAGUAAGUCAUGAGAAAUGUAUUAAAUCUGCGAAGGACAUUUGGAAAAAGGAAUAACAAUCACCAUAUUAGAAAGCUGGAUAUGGACAGAGAUGAUGCUACUAGCAUUUUAUCAACAAUGUCGACCAAGACGAGGUUUUCUAUUGACAGCACUCAAGCUUGAUGGCCAAAAGCCAAAAACAAGAAUGCAUAAACAGGAAAUGUGAUAAAUGAAGCUAUGAGUUGGUCCAUGAUCAGAUGCGCCUAUCUGCACACCAGUUAACUUGUCACAACGUUUUAAAAAACUGAGUAAGCUGAAGAAACAUACAUUUUUGGAGUCAUGGUAAGUGUGUUGAAGUUCAGAUAAGGCAGUAGUACUAUGCAAGAAUGCACAUGAAAAAUUCACCAGUCAGCUGUCUGCCUGCUGUCUUCCGUCAAGACAUGAAAUUCAAGCCAGGACAUGAAACCCUCGCUCUCCUACAGCCUGCCUGUAC